UACGGGGGGGAGCAAGCGUUGUUCGGAUUUACUGGGCGUAAAGGGCGCGUAGGCGGUGUGACAAGUCACUUGUGAAAUCUCCGGGCUUAACUCGGAACGGUCAAGUGAUACUGUCGUGCUAGAGUACAGAAGGGGCAACUGGAAUUCUCGGUGUAGCGGUGAAAUGCGUAGAUAUCGAGAGGAACACCUGCGGCGAAGGCGGGUUGCUGGGCUGAUACUGACGCUGAGGCGCGAAAGCUAGGGGAGCGAACGGG
rnacentral:rRNA from 1 species